UGCGGAACACGUGUGCAACCUGCCUUUAUCUGGGGGAUAGCCUUUCGAAAGGAAGAUUAAUACCCCAUAAUAUUUUGAGUGGCAUCAUUUGAAAUUGAAAACUCCGGUGGAUAGAGAUGGGCACGCGCAGGAUUAGAUAGUUGGUGAGGUAACGGCUCACCAAGUCUGCGAUCCUUAGGGGGCCUGAGAGGGUGAUCCCCCACACUGGUACUGAGACACGGACCAGACUCCUACGGGAGGCAGCAGUGAGGAAUAUUGGACAAUGGGUGAGAGCCUGAUCCAGCCAUCCCGCGUGAAGGACGACGGCCCUAUGGGUUGUAAACUUCUUUUGUAUAGGGAUAAACCUAGAUACGUGUAUCUAGCUGAAGGUACUAUACGAAUAAGCACCGGCUAACUCCGUGCCAGCAGCCGCGGUAAUACGGAGGGUGCAAGCGUUAUCCGGAUUUAUUGGGUUUAAAGGGUCCGUAGGCGGAUCUGUAAGUCAGUGGUGAAAUCUCACAGCUUAACUGUGAAACUGCCAUUGAUACUGCAGGUCUUGAGUGUUGUUGAAGUAGCUGGAAUAAGUAGUGUAGCGGUGAAAUGCAUAGAUAUUACUUAGAACACCAAUUGCGAAGGCAGGUUACUAAGCAACAACUGACGCUGAUGGACGAAAGCGUGGGGAGCGAACAGGAUUAGAUA
rnacentral:rRNA from 1 species